rnacentral:rRNA from 1 species
ACGCUGGCGGCGUGCCUAAUACAUGCAAGUCGAGCGAAGUUUUUCUGGUGCUUGCACUAGAAAAACUUAGCGGCGAACGGGUGAGUAACACGUAAAGAACCUGCCUCAUAGACUGGGACAACUAUUGGAAACGAUAGCUAAUACCGGAUAACAGUAUUUCUCGCAUGAGAGAUAUUUAAAAGUUGGUUAUGCUAACACUAUGAGAUGGCUUUGCGGUGCAUUAGCUAGUUGGUGGGGUAAAGGCCCACCAAGGCGACGAUGCAUAGCCGACCUGAGAGGGUGAUCGGCCACACUGGGACUGAGACACGGCCCAGACUCCUACGGGAGGCAGCAGUAGGGAAUCUUCCGCAAUGGGCGAAAGCCUGACGGAGCAACGCCGCGUGAGUGAAGAAGGAUUUCGGUUCGUAAAGCUCUGUUGUUAGGGAAGAAUGGAUAUGUAGUAACUAUACAUAUAAGAGACGGUACCUAACCAGAAAGCCACGGCUAACUACGUGCCAGCAGCCGCGGUAAUACGUAGGUGGCAAGCGUUGUCCGGAAUUAUUGGGCGUAAAGCGCGCGCAGGUGGUUUAAUAAGUCUGAUGUGAAAGCCCACGGCUCAACCGUGGAGGGUCAUUGGAAACUGUUAAACUUGAGUGCAGGAGAGAAAAGUGGAAUUCCUAGUGUAGCGGUGAAAUGCGUAGAGAUUAGGAGGAACACCAGUGGCGAAGGCGGCUUUUUGGCCUGUAACUGACACUGAGGCGCGAAAGCGUGGGGAGCAAACAGGAUUAGAUACCCUGGUAGUCCACGCCGUAAACGAUGAGUGCUAAGUGUUGGUCUCAUAAGAGAUCAGUGCUGCAGCUAACGCAUUAAGCACUCCGCCUGGGGAGUACGACCGCAAGGUUGAAACUCAAAGGAAUUGACGGGGACCCGC